GAGUUCGAUCCUGGCUCAGAUUGAACGCUGGCGGCAGGCCUAAGACAUGCAAGUCGAGCGAGAAAGCCCUUCGGGGUGAGUACAGCGGCGGACGGGUGAGUAACGCGUAGGAAUCUACCUAGUAGUGGGGACAACUCGUGGAAACGCGAGCUAAUACCGCAUACGCCCUACGGGGGAAAGCGGGGGAUCUUCGGACCUCGUGCUAUUAGAUGAGCCUGCGUAAGAUUAGCUAGUUGGUGGGGUAAUGGCCUACCAAGGCGACGAUCUUUAGCUGGUCUGAGAGGAUGAUCAGCCACACCGGGACUGAGACACGGCCCGGACUCCUACGGGAGGCAGCAGUCGGGAAUAUUGCGCAAUGGGCGAAAGCCUGACGCAGCCAUGCCGCGUGUGUGAAGAAGGCCCUAGGGUUGUAAAGCACUUUCAAUUGGGAGGAAAAGCUAAUGGUUAAUAGCCAUUAGCCCUGACGUUACCUUUAGAAGAAGCACCGGCUAACUCCGUGCCAGCAGCCGCGGUAAUACGGAGGGUGCAAGCGUUAAUCGGAAUUACUGGGCGUAAAGCGCGCGUAGGCGGUUUUUUAAGUCGGAUGUGAAAGCCCCGGGCUCAACCUGGGAAUUGCAUCCGAUACUGGAUAACUAGAAUGCGGGAGAGGGAGGUAGAAUUCCAUGUGUAGCAGUGAAAUGCGUAGAUAUAUGGAGGAAUACCAGUGGCGAAGGCGGCCUCCUGGCUCGACAUUGACGCUGAGGUGCGAAAGCGUGGGGAGCAAACGGGAUUAGAUACCCCGGUAGUCCACGCCGUAAACGAUGUCUACUAGCUGUAGGGGUACUUGAGACCUUUGUAGCGCAGCUAACGCAAUAAGUAGACCGCCUGGGGAGUACGGCCGCAAGGUUAAAACUCAAAUGAAUUGACGGGGGCCCGCACAAGCAGUGGAGCAUGUGGUUUAAUUCGAUGCAACGCGAAGAACCUUACCAGGCCUUGACAUCCCCGGAACUUUCUAGAGAUAGAUUGGUGCCUUCGGGAACCGGGUG
rnacentral:rRNA from 1 species